UGAGACAGGUUGGUCUCCUAUCUACUGCACUCGUUGAUUCUUGAGAAGAUUUGCUCCUAGUACGAGAGGACCGGAGUGAACUGACCUCUGGUGUACGAGCUCUACUGCCAAGUGGAUCGCUCGGUAACUAUGUCGGGAAUGGAUAACCUCUGAAAGCAUCUAAGAGGGAAGCCAGCUUUAAGAUUAGGAAUCGUUAAGAACCGUGAGAGAUGAUCACGUUGAUAGGCUUUAAGUGUAAAUACAGCAAUGUAUUAGCUGAGAAGUACUAAUGUUUCGAUUCCUGUUAAGAA
rnacentral:rRNA from 1 species